rnacentral:rRNA from 1 species
CUUUAACAAGGACCUAUUGGAGGGCAAGUCUGGUGCCAGCAGCCGCGGUAACUCCAGCUCCAAUAGCGUAUAUUAAAGUUGUUGCGGUUAAAACGUUCGUAGUUGAACUUGUGCUUCAUACGGGUAGUGCAACUAUAAUUGUAGUUUGUACUUGACCUUAUGUAUGUAAGCGUAUUAUCGGUGGAGUUCUUAUAUAUAAAAAUAUUAUUUUCCUCCUAUAAAAACCUACUUCAGUGCUCUUCAUCGAGUGUUGUUGUAGGCCGAUACAAUUACUUUGAACAAAUUAGAGUGCUUAAAGCAGGCUCCAAAUGCCUGAAUAUUUUGUGCAUGGAAUAAUGAAAUAAGACCUCUGUUCUACUUUCAUUGGUUUUUAGAUCAAGAGGUAAUGAUUAAUAGAAGCAGUUUGGGGGCAUUAGUAUUACGACGCGAGAGGUGAAAUUCUUGGACCGUCGUAAGACUAACUUAAGCGAAAGCAUUUGCCAAAGAUGUUUUCAUUAAUCAAGAACGAAAGUUAGAGGUUCGAAGGCGAUCAGAUACCGCCCUAGUUCUAACCAUAAACGAUGCCAGCUAGCAAUUGGGUGUAGCUACUUUUAUGGCUCUCUCAGUCGCUUCCCGGGAAACCAAAGCUUUUGGGCUCCGGGGGAAGUAUGGUUGCAAAGCUGAAACUUAAAGGAAUUGACGGAAGGGCACCACCAGGAGUGGA